AGCUGUAUUUGAUUUCUAGGAAGCAGAGUUAAUGCUUGGCUCUGAUCUGACACAGGUGUUGUAAAGUGGAAUUAUAAGGCAGGAUUGGGGCCUAGAUGCCUAAUCAGGUACUCUAACGAAGCCCAGGAGAAUUUAUGCAAACUUGGUAGUCAGAGGAGAGAGAGAGAGGCCUUUGGAGGAGGCAUAGUAUCCAGUGCCCAGAUGCUAGCAGGCAGAAGUAUGACUCCAGGUCCUCCCUCUCCCCUGCUGAAUGGAAACAGCCCAGGAGAGAAUGUGGGCCAACAAUUCAUAGAACUUAAAAUACACACCUAUGGUCCUUUAUUACAGUUGUUAAAAACUUCAAUUCAUGAAAGGUUGUUGCACUUAGCCUAACAAGCAUGGCAAGCUCCUGGGUAAACAAUGACAUUUUACGUUUUUUUGGUUCCACAUUUCUACAAAGAACCCCACUAAAAUCACACGCAAUCCUGACUGUAAAAUCCGAGGAAUCCAGUGAGUAU